rnacentral:rRNA from 1 species
GAUGAACGCUGGCGGCGUGCCUAAUACAUGCAAGUCGAGCGAACAGACGAGGAGCUUGCUCCUCUGACGUUAGCGGCGGACGGGUGAGUAACACGUGGACAACCUACCUAUAAGACUGGGAUAACUUCGGGAAACCGGAGCUAAUACCGGAUAAUAUAUUGAACCGCAUGGUUCAAUAGUGAAAGACGGUUUUGCUGUCACUUAUAGAUGGAUCCGCGCCGCAUUAGCUAGUUGGUAAGGUAACGGCUUACCAAGGCAACGAUGCGUAGCCGACCUGAGAGGGUGAUCGGCCACACUGGAACUGAGACACGGUCCAGACUCCUACGGGAGGCAGCAGUAGGGAAUCUUCCGCAAUGGGCGAAAGCCUGACGGAGCAACGCCGCGUGAGUGAUGAAGGUCUUCGGAUCGUAAAACUCUGUUAUUAGGGAAGAACAAAUGUGUAAGUAACUAUGCACGUCUUGACGGUACCUAAUCAGAAAGCCACGGCUAACUACGUG